CUGCCUCAGACUGCUGGUCUCCCUCUCCUCUCCUCUCAGACCCAACGUGACCUCAUCCAGAGGCUGCCCUCCUACUGCAACAUGCUCCACAAACACCACAUAGGAUCCAGCCAAGUGCUGCUUGUGACACGGCUCCUCUUCAAGCUGAGAACAAAGAUCUGCUGGAGUCUCUCCUCAACUGCAGGGUAGAAGCAUGGUUUGUGUCAGUGCUGCAUCCCUCCAGCCCCAGAGACAGUCUCCUCCACUGGCUGGGCCUGCUGUCUAACCAGAGCUGCAGGCAGCCACCAAGGGGAGCUCUGGGGCAGCAGUACAAUGAGGCCUCCCUGCAUGCCCUGCUCUACUCCUGGCCCACCC
rnacentral:lncRNA from 1 species